AUGUACAAACUCGUACAUUCCGGUAGCUGCGCUCCGGCCGUACCCCGCUGCGGCCCGCUCGCUACGAUUUCUUCGCA
rfam:Sulfuritalea hydrogenivorans sk43H DNA, complete genome.